UUCAUACGGGGAAGAGUGGUUCCCGCUUUUGCGCGCUCUUAACUUCAGUGAGUGGGAAGAGAGAGAGAGAGAGAUGGGUUUCCUCUAUUUCAUAUGUCCGCAGUCGCCAGAGAUAUGGGAUGAUCUUGGUUACUCAGAAUGCUUCAAGAACAUGAUAUUUGGAUUUGGAGCAAAUAUGUGGACCAUAAUGUUGAUUGCUUUUCUGGGAUUGACACAAGAAAAUUCAAGAAUUUGUGUGCAACAGAUGUCAAUUUGGAGAACAGGCCUAACACUGCUGCACAUAGUACCUGCUUUUGAAAUAUGCAUAUCAUUAUGGGAUAUAUGUAGCCUUUUAAACAAAGAUUUUCAUGGAAAAACUUCAUCACAUCAUGAAUGGAUUUUCAGAUGUUCUCAGUUUGUGGCAUGGAUGGCCAUAAUGCUGAUUUUGAAUUGUAAAAGUUGGUGGUAUCUUUCUUGCAACUGGUUUCUUUCCGUUUGGUGGAUUAUUUGGCCUCUAAUGGAAGUACCUCAUCUGCAAAGAGUAUUUUCAUUAUCAGAGGUUGCACAAUGUUUGAAGGAGAGUUGCUAUUUUCUAGGGGGGAUCAUGUUUGGCCUUAUCAUCAACAUUGUUAAAAUGAAACUAUCAUCUACCUCAGAAGGCACAUGCAAUCAUUCGUUAGAAGAAGCACUCAUCUCAUCUGAAGUUGAUUUGGAGGGAAAUUGCAAGAAUGGCCCGGAUGUGAACGGCAUCAAAUUUUGGCGACUUAUAACCUUCAGCUUUGUUAAUCCAAUUAUGAAACAAGGUGCAAUUAAGCAACUUGACUUUGAGGAUUUGAUGCAUUUGCCCAAUGAGUUGGAUCCUUUAUUGUGCCAUACUAUGCUGCGGAAAUGCUGGUCUUUGGAACAAAGAAAACAUCUCAAUCAGGCAUCACUUUUCAGAGCUAUUUGUUAUGCAUAUGGUUGGCCAUACUUGCUGCUGGGCCUCCUGAAGGUUGUAAAUGAUUGUCUUGGUUUUGCCGGACCAUUGCUACUUAAUAAACUUAUAGGGUUUCUUCAGAAAGGUUCUGAGCAAUGGGAUGGUUACUCCCUUUCUCUUUGUUUGGGUUUGACAUCCAUCCUCAAGUCAUUUCUUGAUACACAAUAUACCUAUCAUCUUUCAAAGCUGAAGUUGAAACUGCGUGCCAGUAUAAUGACUCUUGUUUAUCAGAAGUGCCUUCUUACCAGCCUAGCAGAGCGAUCCAUUUUCUCGGUGGGGGAAAUUCAGACUUUUAUGUCUAUUGACACAGAUCGAACGGUAAAUUUAUGCAACAGUUUCCAUGACAUGUGGAGUCUACCUAUGCAAAUUGGAGUGGCAUUAUAUCUCUUGUACACGCAAGUCAAGUUUGCUUUUGCCUCAGGGAUUGCUAUAACCAUUUUGCUAAUUCCAGUGAAUAGGUGGAUUUCUGGAUUGAUUGCUGCGGCAACAGAGCUCAUGAUGAAACACAAGGAUGAAAGAAUCAGAAAGUCAGGAGAACUGUUAAUGCAUAUCAGAACUCUUAAGAUGUACAGCUGGGAGCUUCUUUUCUCUAACAGGCUGAUGGAAACUAGAGAAAUGGAAGUGAAACACCUAUCGACUCGGAAAUACUUGGAUGCAUGGUGUGUAUUUUUUUGGGCCACAACACCAACCCUGUUUUCUUUGUUUACAUUUGGCCUCUUCGCGUUACUGGGGAAUCAACUCACUGCAGCAACGGUGUUCACAUGUGUUGCUUUAUUUAAUACUUUGAUAUCUCCAUUAAAUUCAUUUCCUUGGGUGAUCAAUGGGUUGAUUGAUGCCAUGAUAUCUACGAGGCGGUUGAGCAAAUUUCUCUCCUGUCCUGAUAUUAAUUCUGAAAAGAUAGAACCAUCCACAGAGCAGUUGACAGCAUGCUCAUCAAUUUGCAUCCCAACAGACUCUGCUGAUGAUAACUUUGAAGAUGUAGCAAUUGUAUUCCAAGAUGCAAACUGUGUUUGGUCUAGCAGCAAAAUGGAGGAGCAGGGGAAAAACUUGAAACUCACCUCUUUUGAGAUUCCUAGAGGUUUCUUUGUUGUUGUAAUUGGAGAGGUUGGUUCGGGAAAGUCAUCUUUGUUGAAUGCCAUUCUUGGAGAGACAAGGUUCACUCGUGGUGCAGUACGUUCAUGUGGUUCCAUAGCAUAUGCCCCUCAGGUUCCAUGGAUACUAUCUGGCACCGUACGAGAUAAUAUCUUGUUUGGGAAGGGCCAUGAGGCAAAAAGAUACAAUGAAGUUGUUACGGCUUGUGCCAUGGAUGUUGAUAUUGGGCUAAUGCCUGGAGGUGACCAAGCAUUUAUUGGAGAGAGAGGACUCAACUUAUCAGGUGGACAGAGAGCUCGUCUCAUGCUAGCAAGAGCUAUAUAUCACGGCUCGGAUAUCUACUUGCUUGAUGAUGUACUUAGUGCAGUUGAUGCACACGUGGCAAGCUGGAUUUUAAAGAAUGCUAUCCUUGGUCCAUUGAUGGAACAAAAGACACGAAUUAUGUGCACCCAUAAUAUUCAGGCAAUUUCUUCUGCUGAUGUGAUUAUAGUUAUGGAAAAUGGGCAAAUGAAGUGGAUGGGACGCUAUGCUGAUUUCCUAGUAUCACCGUGCAAUGAAUUUCAGACUCUGAAAGACAUGGGCUCAUUACCUUCUAGUGUUCCUGUUGAAGGAAGCAAUAUAAGCAAUAAAAAGGGAAUCAAGGCUACUUUCAUAACUCAGAGCGACUGUAAUAUUGAUUCUUUGAAUGAACCACCUCAAAUAACUGAAGUAGAACAAAGGAAAGAGGGUAGAGUUGAAUACAGCAUCUACAAAAACUAUGCAGUAUUUGCCAGCUGGUGGCUUGUUGCGAUAAUAUGUUUAUCUGCAUUCUUAAUGCAAUCCACCCGCAAUGGAAAUGAUUUCUGGCUGUCGCACUGGGUUGAUACGUCUUCCAAGAGCCCAAAUCUAAAUACUUCAGUGCACUACUACCUGGCUGUUUUAUGCAUAUUUGCUGUAAUGAACUCCCUUCUCACCUUAAUCAGAGCAUUUUCAUUUGCUUAUGGGGGUUUACGGGCAGCACUUCAGGUGCAUAACAACCUUCUGAGUAAACUGUUAACUGCUCCUGUUUAUUUCUUUGACCAAAAUCCAAGCGGAAGAAUUCUUAACAGCAGGUUCUCAUCUGAUCAAUAUACCAUUGAUGAUUCUCUUCCAUUUAUUCUCAACAUUCUCCUGGCAAACUUCUUCAGUCUUGUGGGAAUUGCAACAGUUUUGUCCUUUGUGCAGAUUUAUUUCCUUUUACUGCUGGUGCCACUUUGGUAUAUCUACAAGAAAUUGCAGUUUUACUAUAGAUGCACAUCCCGUGAAUUGAGAAGGCUGGAUAGUGUUUCUCGCUCUCCUAUCUAUACAUCAUUCAAUGAAGCAUUAGAUGGAUCUUCCAGUAUAAGAGCUUUCAAGGCAGAGAAAAUGUUCAUGGCUACAUUCACUAAGCAUGUAAUGCUAAAUCAACGCACUUCUUACUCAGAGCUAUCAGCUAGUUGCUGGCUCUCUUUGCGUCUCCAAUUGCUUGCAGCAUGUGUUGUUUCUUUCAUUGCCAUCAUUGCUGUCCUUGGCAAAGGAGGAGGUCUUCCUGUCAGUUUUGGCACACCUGGAUUGGUUGGCCUAGCUCUCUCCUAUGCAGCACCACUUGUAUCUUUGUUAAGUAAUUUCCUGACAAGCUUUACGGAAACAGAGAAAGAAAUGGUUUCUGUUGAAAGAGUACUUGAGUACAUGGAUAUUGCUCCAGAAGACCUUCAGGGAUGCCAAUCUGUAAAUUCAGAUUGGCCCUCACAAGGAGAAGUUGAAUUUCAUCAUGUCAGCCUGAGAUAUAUGCCAUCAUUGCCACUGGCGCUUCAAGAUGUUUCAUUUUGUAUUUCAGCCGGUACACAGGUUGGAGUUGUUGGAAGGACGGGUGCUGGAAAAUCCAGCGUGUUAAAUGCCCUAUUUCGUUUGACACCAAUUUGUGAAGGGCAUAUUUUAAUUGACAGAAUAAAUGUAGCCAAUGUUGGAGUUAGAGAACUUCGCGCACGUCUAGCAGUUGUUCCACAAAACCCAUUCUUAUUUGAAGGAACAUUGAGGGAUAAUCUGGACCCCUUUAAGGUGGCAAAUGAUUCAAGUAUCUGGGAGGUUCUUCAGAAAUGUCAUAUCAGAGAAGAAGUACAGGCAGCUGGUGGGCUAGGCAUUCAUGUGAAGGAAGCUGGUGUAUCAUUCUCUGUUGGACAACGACAGCUUUUAUGCCUCGCUCGUGCACUACUUAAGUCUUCUAAGGUAUUGUGUUUGGAUGAGUGUACUGCCAAUAUUGACGCUCAAACUGGAUCAAUAAUACAUGAAACUAUUUCUAGUGAAUGCAAUGGAACCACAGUGAUAACCAUAGCUCAUCGCAUUCCCAUAGUUUUGAACAUGGAUAACGUUCUCGUUCUCGACCAUGGAAUCCUGCGAGUUGGGCAUGCGAACUUUUUUUUUGAGAAAGGCGAUAUUCAUUAAGAUAUUGAAAGAGUACAACAGAAAGAAAAAAGCACAAAAAAGAAGAAACAAAAGAAGGGAAGGAAAAGAAGAAGGCCAUGAGCAGGCGGCCACCAACACGGGCCAGAGUCAAGCAAUAGCCUCUUUUGCCAAACAGUUGGCAUCAGAAUUGGCACUUCUAUAGACAUGAGCGAAGAGACGUUCCUGCCCUAGUGUCAAUAGAAUUUCAUCCGUGAUCACACUCAGUCUCCAAGGAAUCCGGCAAAGUUGGGAGCACCAUAAAAUAACAUUGACCUAGUCGCCUUCAAUUAUGACCUUCCUGUGAGACUUGGCAAGACGAGAGACCCCAAUUUUAUCUGCUCAAAGCUCAGCUUCAUUGAUCUCAAAGGUAUAAUGGGAGCUCGAGGAAGACCAGAUUAAAGAUCCAUUAUGAUAUCAAAGAAGGCCACCAAAGCCAGACCGAGCCCCCCUAACGCUCCCAUCAAAGUUCAAUUUAAACCAGCCUAUGGGAGGUUUAGUCCAAACACGUCGGAUAGACGGUCGACGAUAUUUAAGAAAGAGUAAGUCUUUGAAGGAGGAGAAAAAGAAGGAGAUUAGGAACAGCCGUAAGAGGAAGUGAAGCAUAAGCCCGCAUGAUGACCAAGCGCUGAAUAUCUGAGAGUAAGGGGAUAAUAUCUCUCGAUCGACCCUUGAAGGUCAGCAAGUUUCUCUCUUUCCACAGAUUCCAAAGAGAGGCAGCAAUCGUAAUUCUCCACAGGUUACGAUCCAGCGAGGCAAAGGAGGGGUUCCAGACUUGUUGAAGAAAAAUAUUGGCAUCUUAAGACCAUGGGUUGUGCAGCCAGCCAAGCUGUCAACCCACUCCCAAAUGGCAGCAGCAUACUUGUAUCUAUGAAAGACGUGGGCGAUGGUUUCCUCAUCCUCCUUACAAGGUUGAACAAGGAGACCCACAGGUUCUUCUACGAAAUGGCAGCUCUAGAUUGGCAGGCUUUGCAAGAGCUUCCAUUUAAGCGGUAUUAUAUGUGUGAUAAUGAAUAUGCAUGCAUGUUUAAGUGCAUUAAGCCAUUGUCAAAUAUCAUAUAAAUUGUUCAUGUAUGAGUUAUGUAAAUGUUAUAUUUAAGGGAUGCAUGGGAAUGGAAUAGACCGAGAACUUGCCUUAUCA